GAUCAUACCUGAGCUGAAAUCAAGAGUUGGGUGCUUAACCAACUGAGCCACUCAGGCUCCUCUAUAUAUUGUGCCUCUUAAAGCUUUCAGUUAAUACUCUGUGUAAGAAAUUUAGUAGUUUUAAACUUUCUGAUGGCUAUGAUCACUGUUUGCAGGGUGAAUAUCUAUACUCUACUUGGAUAUGACAGCAAAAAUCUGAGGAGAUACCCAGUGGGGUCACUUUGCUGACUAACAGGCUUCUACAUCUGUGUGAAGCAAGAUGGACAAGCAGCCAGCAUAAUAAAGAGGUCACACGUAAACAAGUCUAAAGAAUAUAGACAACUAUAAAUUCUCUCUACAUGAAGUUCAAGCUUGAUUUUCCACACCAUUGACAUGAGGCAAUGUUAAGAGGCUACUAGAAACAGGCUUGGGAAUAGUUGAUGCCGGAUCUUGAGAGGAAACCUUUGAACACUCCACUUCUUACUUGUCAGCUUCAACCAGUCUCUCUAGAUAUUGAUGUAGUAAGGAGCAGCAGCUCACAGCUUCACUGGCAUUGAUGGGCGUGGUGGCUUCAUGUCCAGGCUGGAUUGCAAGCUCCGCGCUGCUGGGCCGUUUAUCUCUGCCACCACAACAGCCCGGGCCGCAAACAGGCGAGCCGUUCUCUGCCCGGCUCCUGGGCUCCCGCCGGGAGGGCACAAUUAAGACAGACCCUUGCCUUCUUGGCUGCCAAAGCAUUUCAGCUUCUGAAGAGCAUGGGAAGCAACGCCAUCAACCCCCCUGAGGAAAUAAAUAAAUAAAUUAAUUAAUUAAAUAAAUGCA
rnacentral:lncRNA from 1 species